GGCACUUUAGCUCAGUUGGAAGAGCACACUCGUGCAAAGAGUCACUAAGAGGACCCGGGUUCGAACCCCGGAAGAGCCA